rnacentral:misc_RNA from 1 species
AGAGAUAGAAUCAUAUGAUGAAUAAAGUGAAAAAUCCAUCAAGAAAAAUGAGAGAGAAAAACAUAAAAGAUAACAUUCAAAGUCAAACGUCACCCAGCAAGCCAUUUAAACUUAGACCUUCAUUCAACUUUCAACCAAUAAAACCUAUGACAUUGAACUUUAUAGUGGUUAGAAUUAUAUCCUCAAAUAAGAUCCUUGGAAUGAAAUUCACUGGCAAAUUCAUAAGCCAUGCUCUCUUCAGGUGUGAUCAUCACUUAAAACAGACAAUCAAAAGUUUUGAACUAUGAAUGCUAUAAAGAUAACUUACUUUUGCAUGCAACAAGAAGACCCAGAAAAUUCCUUGUACCAAAUAGUUAGUUUCUUGUUCCUUUUCAAUGAUCAAUAAAACCAAUAGCUAAUGUCAAAAUCUGGAUUGUUUCCAAAUGAUAAGGCACAUUUGUCUUAAAGAUGCAACCCUUUCCUACAGUAAAAACUGCCCAUUCAACA